rnacentral:rRNA from 1 species
AUUGAACGCUGGCGGCAUGCCUUACACAUGCAAGUCGAACGGUAACAGGUCUUCGGAUGCUGACGAGUGGCGAACGGGUGAGUAAAGCAUCGGAACGUGCCCAGUCGUGGGGGAUAACUGCUCGAAAGAGCAGCUAAUACCGCAUACGACCUAAGGGUGAAAGCGGGGGACCUUCGGGCCUCGCGCGAUUGGAGCGGCCGAUGUCAGAUUAGAUAGUUGGUGGGGUAAAGGCUUACCAAGUCGACGAUCUGUAGCUGGUCUGAGAGGACGACCAGCCACACUGGGACUGAGACACGGCCCAGACUCCUACGGGAGGCAGCAGUGGGGAAUUUUGGACAAUGGGCGAAAGCCUGAUCCAGCAAUGCCGCGUGCAGGAAGAAGGCCUUCGGGUUGUAAACUGCUUUUGUACGGAACGAAAAGGUUCUUUUUAAUAAAGAGGACUGAUGACGGUACCGUAAGAAUAAGCACCGGCUAACUACGUGCCAGCAGCCGCGGUAA